AUUGAACGCUGGCGGCAGGCCUAACACAUGCAAGUCGAGCGGGGUUUUCGGACCUAGCGGCGGACGGGUGAGUAAUGCGUAGGAAGCUACCCGAUAGAGGGGGAUACCAGUUGGAAACGACUGUUAAUACCGCAUAAUGUCUACGGACCAAAGUGUGGGACCUUCGGGCCACAUGCUAUCGGAUGCGCCUACGUGGGAUUAGCUAGUUGGUGAGGUAAUGGCUCACCAAGGCGACGAUCCCUAGCUGGUUUGAGAGGAUGAUCAGCCACACUGGAACUGAGACACGGUCCAGACUCCUACGGGAGGCAGCAGUGGGGAAUAUUGGACAAUGGGCGCAAGCCUGAUCCAGCCAUGCCGCGUGUGUGAAGAAGGCCUUCGGGUUGUAAAGCACUUUCAGUAGGGAGGAAGCGUUGAGUGUUAAUAGUACUCAGCGUUGACGUUACCUACAGAAGAAGCACCGGCUAACUCUGUGCCAGCAGCCGCGGUAA
rnacentral:rRNA from 1 species